rnacentral:rRNA from 1 species
GACGAACGCUGGCGGCGUGCUUAACACAUGCAAGUCGAACGGAAAGGCCCUGCUUGCAGGGUACUCGAGUGGCGAACGGGUGAGUAACACGUGGGUGAUCUGCCCUGCACUUCGGGAUAAGCCUGGGAAACUGGGUCUAAUACCGGAUAGGAGCCAUUUUUAGUGUGAUGGUUGGAAAGUUUUUUCGGUGUAGGAUGAGCUCGCGGCCUAUCAGCUUGUUGGUGGGGUAAUGGCCUACCAAGGCGGCGACGGGUAGCCGGCCUGAGAGGGUGGACGGCCACAGUGGGACUGAGAGACGGCCCAGACUCCUACGGGAGGCAGCAGUGGGGAAUAUUGCACAAUGGGCGCAAGCCUGAUGCAGCGACGCCGCGUGGGGGAUGACGGCCUUCGGGUUGUAAACUCCUUUCGCUAGGGACGAAGCUUUUUGUGACGGUACCUAGAUAAGAAGCACCGGCUAACUACGUG